CCUACGGGAGACAGCAGUGGGGAAUAUUGGGCAAUGGGCGCAAGCCUGACCCAGCAACGCCGCGUGAAGGAAGAAGGCUUUCGGGUUGUAAACUUCUUUUAAGAGGGAAGAGCAGAAGACGGUACCUCUUGAAUAAGCCACGGCUAACUACGUGCCAGCAGCCGCGGUAAUACGUAGGUGGCAAGCGUUGUCCGGAUUUACUGGGUGUAAAGGGCGUGUAGCCGGGCUGACAAGUCAGAUGUGAAAUUCCGGGGCUCAACCCCGGACCUGCAUUUGAAACUGUUGGUGUUGAGUAUCGGAGAGGCAGGCGGAAUUCCUAGGGGAGCGGUGAAAGGGGUAGAUAUUAGGAGGAACACGAGGGGCGAAGGCGGCCGGCUGGACGACAACUGCGGGUGAGGCGCGAAAGCGUGGGGAGCAAACAGGAUUAGAUACCCUAGUAGUC
rnacentral:rRNA from 1 species